rnacentral:sRNA from 1 species
GCCAGGGGCAGUGGUAUGGCCUGUAGUCCCAGCUACUCGGGAGGCUGAGACUGGAGGAUCCCUUGAGCCCAGGAGUUGGAGGCCAGUCUGGGCAACAUAGCAGGACCCUGACUCAA